ACAUGUCUACAACAUAGUGUUAAUGCAUUGAAUCCCAUUAAAACUCUGUAGUUAAGCAUGCUCAGGCUAGAUUAGUACUGGGAUGGGUGACCUCCCAGGAAUUCCUAGUAUUUUACAUGCC
rnacentral:rRNA from 1 species